AUGGUCUUUUCUUCGGUUCCCCUCUACCAUGAUCCACCCAAUUGGAACCAGAACCACAACCAGCAGCAGCAGCAGCAGCAGCUCCAGCAGCAGCAGCAGCAGCAGCAGCAGCAACUGAGCCACCAUGGCCAGAUGUUUGCAAGCGGGGGCGGCGGGGGCGGAGUGGACAUGCACCACCACCACCACCAGCAACAGCAACAGCAGCAGUAUCAGCAGCAGCAGCAGCACCAGCACCAGCACCAGCUGCGGCCGCCCGUGCCGCCGCCUGGGGCGUUGAUGGCUCCGAGGCCGGACGGCAUGGGUAGUGCGGUUGCUCUGAGCGGCGCAGGUGGUGGUGGUGGUGGUGCCGGCGGAGGUCCAACGGGCGGCGCGGUGGUGCGGCCAGGGUCGAUGACGGACCGGGCGCGGAUGGCCAAGAUCCCGCAGCCGGAGCCGGGGCUCAAGUGCCCGCGCUGCGAGUCCACCAACACCAAGUUCUGCUACUUCAACAACUACUCCCUCACGCAGCCCCGUCACUUCUGCAAGACCUGCCGACGCUACUGGACCCGCGGCGGCACGCUCCGCAACGUCCCCGUCGGGGGCGGCUGCCGCCGCAACAAGCGCACCAAGUCCUCCAAGUCCUCGUCCUCCGCCGCGUCCGCUUCCGGUGGCGGGACGUCGUCGUCCACAACAUCGUCCACGACCACGGCUGGGGGUGCCAACGGCAACGGCAACGGCAACGGCAACCGCAACGGCAGCAGCGCGGCCGCGGCGGCCGGGGCCAUGAUGUCUUCUCAGGGCCAGGGGCACGCGCAGAUGCCAUUCUUUGGCUCGCUGCACCCGUUGGGCGCCGGCAGCGGGGAUCACUACGGCACCGGCGCGUCGAGGCUAGGGUUUCCGGGGCUGAUCAACUCGCUGGAUCCGGUGGACUACCAGCUCGGUGGAGGCGGUGCCGCGGCCGCCGCCAUGGGGCUGUCCGAACAGUGGCGGCUGCCGCAGAUGCAGCAGUUCCCCUUCUUGGGCCGCGCCGACGGCAUGCAUCAACAGCAGCAGCAAAUGGCUGGCCUAUACCCGUUCGACGCCACUGACGCGUCCGGCUUCGCCGGAGAGAUGAUGGGCGGCGUCGGCGGAUCCAAGCAGCUGGUGCCCGGAUCGGCAGGGCUGAUCACGCAGCUCGCGUCGGUGAAGAUGGAGGACAACCCGCCGUCCAACAACGCUAUGGCGGGCGCCGCCUCAGCCAGGGAGUUCCUCGGCCUCCCCGGCAACAUCCAAUUCUGGGGCGGCGGCAACAAUGGCGCAGGCGGCAACGACAAUGGAGGAAGUCACAGCAGCGGCACCGUGGCUCCAGGCGGUGCCGGCGGAGGAGGCGGCUGGGUGGAUCAGCUCCCCGGGUUCAACUCGUCAUCAUCGGGCAACAUCCUGUGA
rnacentral:rRNA from 1 species